rnacentral:rRNA from 1 species
CCCUYUAAAGCACAAACUUACAUCCCACAUUAUUAACAGCCCUACUAAUACCCAAACCACUACAAGACUAAGUAUUUAACAGCUCUGUUAAACCAACUCAGGAGUGCUUAAUUAGAAAGAUUCAAACCUGUAAAAGGAACUAGGCAAAUUCCAAGGCCCGACUGUUUACCAAAAACAUAGCCUUCAGCACAUCAAGUAUUGAAGGUGACGCCUGCCCAGUGACACCAAGUUUAACGGCCGCGGUAUCCUAACCGUGCAAAGGUAGCGCAAUCAAUUGUCCCAUAAAUCGAGACUUGUAUGAAUGGCCAAACGAGGUCUUAACUGUCUCUUACAGGUAAUCAGUGAAAUUGAUCUCCUCAUGCAAAAGUGAGGAUAAACCCAUAAGACGAGAAGACCCUGUGGAACUUAAAAACCAGCAGCCACUCUAAACCAAACCAAAACCUACCAGGCCCACCACCCUAGAUAAUUGGCUCGCAUUUUUCGGUUGGGGCGACCUUGGAGAAAAACAGAUCCUCCAAAAAUAAGACCACCCCUYUUAACCAAGACCAACAAUUCAACGUACCAACAGUAACCAGACCCAGCACAAAGCUGACCAAUGAACCAAGCUACCCCAGGGAUAACAGCGCAAUCCCCUUCAAGAGCCCAUAUCGACAAGGGGGUUUAC